rnacentral:misc_RNA from 1 species
GAAAUAAACCUGAUGGGUUGUUGCUGGUUCUCUAGGGAGCAUGUGCACACCUUGUCAUCUUUAUAUCUCCACCUGUGCACCUUUUGUAGACCUUCCAGGUCUAUGUUGCUUCAUUUACCCCCAAUGUAUGUUAAUAGAGUGUUGUGUUUAUAAAAUCUAUACAACUUUCAGCAACGGAUCUCUUGGCUCU